rnacentral:rRNA from 1 species
GAUGAACGCUAGCUACAGGCUUAACACAUGCAAGUCGAGGGGCAUCGGGAAUCUAGCUUGCUAGAUUUGCCGGCGACCGGCGCACGGGUGAGUAACACGUAUCCAACCUGGCCCAUACUCGGGUAUAGCCUCUCGAAAGGGAGAUUAAUCCCCGAUGUUGUUGUCUCACCGCAUGGUGUACCAACCAAAGAAUUUCGGUAUGGGAUGGGGAUGCGUUCCAUUAGCUUGUUGGCGGGGUAACGGCCCACCAAGGCUACGAUGGAUAGGGGUUCUGAGAGGAAGGUCCCCCACACUGGAACUGAGACACGGUCCAG